rnacentral:lncRNA from 1 species
AAGAAACAUACCUAGUGUUAAAGUGCGUCCCUGCAGCUUAAGGUAAGAUAUAAAUAUCCAAAUUAGUUUCUCAAGUUUAUUAAUUAUCACGACAUUUGGUUAAUUAAGAAUAGAUUACAUUAGAGAUAAAUACGAAAAACCGAAAAACGCAAAAGCGCACGCAUACAAUUAUAUUCUGUAAUUUGAAACCCACAAAAAUCUAAAUUCUAUUGUACAUCUUAGAUGAUGGGAAAAUAAAGUACCCAUUACAAAUCGCCACUUGGAAAAAUAUAAGGCCUAUGGCAUAUGAAAUGUCAUUUUCAACUGCCAUUGUCCUGAAAGUGCAGUAAAUUAUACUUUUAGCCACCAUUAGAAAAAUAAUUGAAAUGUUUUCCUAACAAUGCCACUUUAACCCGACUGAUAUUGGUGGCGGCAUUCCCCUAACAACACAUAAUAAAACCAAACAUAAAUUGAAAGAAUAUAGACAACAGUGGCUAUGCCAGAAUCACAAAAAAGACAUAAACAAGUUGGGUAGCAAUUUGCAACUUAUAUUUGAUCAGUUGUUCUUCCAACAAUGAUCAUUGUGCCUUAUAUAAAUAUAUAUCACGAUUAUUUCAUUAUGUAUCUGAAAUAUAGAAAAUAAUUACAAACUUAUUUUUUCAAUUUAUCCUUUUGGCACGGUUACCGCAGGUUGUUCUGUGAUAUGCUUGGCUAUUAUUGAUAUCAUGGCCCCUAGCUACACGUAAGUAAAACUUUAAAUAUCAUCGGCACACAUCUUAAUAGAUUGGCUUAAAUCAGGUAUUAAAGAAGUUAGAUUCUAACAUUUACAUUUUUACUAUUGCAGGAACAGCGGAAUGUCAAAUCGGAUGUGUAUGCUGCUUCUAGUCCUGACAACUAGUAAUUUUUGUGAUAAAGCAUUGUCACUUUGUGCUGAUUCAAAUACAUUGAGUCUUAACUUGACCAACAAAAGAAUUUCACUAUUAGGCGGACCGUUAUUUGCAGGCUGUAAUCCAGUUGCUUCAGCUAUUGAUCUCUCUUGGAAUAACAUCACAUCACUUGAAUUCAAUGCUUUUGCUAUUUAUGAUUCUAGCAUUCAGAAAUAUGUUCCGUUCUUUCAGAAUUUGCGAUCGUUGAACCUAAGUAACAACAGAAUUAGCAAUAUCAGUGACAAAGCUCUUACAUUUUCUAGGAAUCUUCAUCUUUUGGAUCUGUCAAAUAACUCCUUAACUGUACUUAAAUCAGGGAUUUUUGACAGUAUUCCUCUUUUAGAAAGCUUGAAACUAUCCCAUAAUAAAAUAUCGAUCAUAGACAAUGGCGUGUUUACUUCAAAUUUGAGAAAUUUAAGACAGGUUGAUCUUCAGCAUAACCAACUAACCUCGAUGGAGAUGUGGCCUUACAUUAUCAAGCCCUCAUCAAUGCUCUUUAUAUUUGAUGUUCGACACAAUAUGAUAAACCAAUUUACCAAUAAACUGAAUUAUACAUAUGACUUAAAGCCGCCAUAUAAGACAAUGACAUACCUUGAUUAUAAUAGAUUUACCAUCUGGAAUGACACCUGGUUUACGCAGUAUCACAAUCACAAACGCUCCUACCUAAGUGAUAUGUCAAACUUUAUCCUGCAAUUGGGUGUCCUACUAUACAGAUACAACCC